rnacentral:rRNA from 1 species
AUUCCAGCUCCAAUAGUGUACAUUAAAGUUGUUGCAGUUAUAAAGCCUGUAGCUGGAUUUCUGGUGUCGCUGUGCUUCCGCGUGUUUAAUUACAUGUCAAGUUGUGUUUGCGUCGCCAUCUUUUAGCAGCACCCUCCUGGCAUUAGGUUGUUGGGUUGGUAAUGCAAAUCGUUUACUGUGAAGAAAUUAGAGUGUUCAAAGCAGGCUUAUGCCGUUGAAUACGUUAGCAUGGAAUAAUGAGAUAGGACCUUGAUACUAUUUUGUUGGUUUGCGCAUCAAGGUAAUGAUUAAUAGGGAUAGUUGGGGGCAUUAGUAUUUAAUUGUCAGAGGUGGAAUUCUCAGAUUUGUUAAAGACUAACUUAUGCGAAAGCAUUUGCCAAGGAUGUUUUCAUCG